UGGGGUGCAGCGUCAUGAUUUGUACAACUUUGAAUGGCCAUGGGGUGUAGAUUGGCCUGAGCAAAUUUGGUGCCGGAGGAACGAAAGCCUUCGGAGGAGUUAGCGAAAUUCCAAUGUGUGCGGAUCGGCAAAAAAAGCGAAAUAGCCCUUUAACCGUACAUUUGACAGAUACGCCCGCACUGACUUUUUCGUAGAUCUUAUUGAGAUACACAUGUGUGUCAAAUUUUGUGUCAUUUUGACAAAGCGUACAGGCAUCAGGUGACUUUUCACCAUAGGGGGCGCUAUGGAGCCAUUUUUCGUUUUUUUGUUUGGACGACUUCAGAAUAUCAAAUUUUUCACCAGGCCCGGUCGUCCUGCCAAAUUUCCUGAGUUUUCGCCAGUGGGAAGUGGGCCAUUUUCCAGUUUAAAGCGGAGGAAAAAUAACGAAAGAAGAAUCCAUCAGGAACAAGAGGGCUCUCGCAGCUGCUUAGCAGCCCGAGCCGUGUUCCCCCCCCAACGCGCUGCCUCCCUGUCCCAUUUGCGUCCUCUGGCCAUCGCCCUCUCUGGUAACGCCCAUCACUGCAAAGACCCUUUUCCUUCAUCGGCGUUUGCUGUUCUUCCUUCCAGUGCGUGUUGCUUUCACUUACACUUGCCACAGCCAGCCUCGUGAGUGCCUAGCCUAUUGGAUAUCACUGUCACCUACACAGGACAGUCAUUACCUUUCUAUUAAUACUUUGUUUUUUAAUUUCACAUUAAUUUCCAUAUUGUAUAAACGACUGGAAAAAACUUGAGCCCCUGCCCCUGUAUAAUCAUGUGCACGUCCCUGUUCUAGCUCCAAGGUGAAUCUUCACUGCUCAUGUUCUCCUCAGAAGCAGUCACCUCACUACCCUCAGGUUACUGUACACAUACACCAACUGCCUGCUUCAGGUUUGGAUGGAGCUUCAUGGUUGUCUUUUGGAGAAAUGAGCAGUCAAGUUGUGUUUGAAAUUUGAUUUUUUUCAGGGGCAAAAGGAAGCCUCUGCAUUCUUGUCAAAUAUGUAAAUAGCAUGUUUUUGCAGGUGCUAAAAAACAGACUCUGAGUGUGUGUGUGUGUGUGUGUGUGUGUGUGUGUGUGUGUGUGUGUGUGUUGGCGUGUGUGUAUAUGUGUGUGUAUCCUGCAGUACUCUGUACUCCUGCAGUGGCCGAAAAGACUUUUAAGAAUGUGGAUUUUUGGGUCAUCUUUGGCGCCCCCUAGAACUGCAGAACUCUGUACUCCUGCAGUGGCCAAAAUGACUUUUAAGAAUGUGGAUUUUUGGGUCAUCUUUGGCGCCCCAAAGAACUGCAGUACUCUGUACUCCUGCAGUGGCCAAAAUGACUUUUAAGAAUGUGGAUUUUUGGGUCAUUUUGGCGCCCCCUAGAACGUAAACCGUGGGGUGCAGCGUCAUGAUUUUUACAACUUUGAAUGGGCAUGGGGUGUAGAUUGCCCUGAGCAAAUUUGGUAUCGGUGGGACAAAAGCCUUAGGAGGAGAUAGCCACAUUCCAAUGUGUGCGAAUCGGCAAAAAAUGCGAAAUAGCCCUUUAACCGUACAUUUGACAGAUACGUGCCUAUUGACUUUUUUGUAGAUCUUAUUGAGAUACACGUGAUUGUUAAAUUGUGUGUCAAUAUGACAAAGUGUAUAGGCGUGACACUCAACAAUGUGUAUUUUUACCUUAGGAGACAAGAAAAAAUGGACUUUUUUCUCCUGCCAUGGGGGGGCGCUCUUUUGGGGAGUAAAAAUUCCUUCACAAAUGUGUUGAUGGCUGGACAUUGCAUCAUCCUAGAAAACUUGGAGGCCAGUGAGGACAAAAAUAAAAAGUUAUAAGACUUUUAAGAAUGUGGAUUUUUGGGUUAUCUUUGGCGCCCCCUAGAACGUAAACCGUGGGGUGCAGCGUCAUGAUUUGUACAACUUUGAAUGGCCAUGGGGUGUAGAUUGGCCUGAGCAAAUUUGGUGCCGGAGGAACGAAAGCCUUCGGAGGAGUUAGCGAAAUUCCAAUGUGUGCGGAUCGGCAAAAAAAGCGAAAUAGCCCUUUAACCGUACAUUUGACAGAUACGCCCGCACUGACUUUUUCGUAGAUCUUAUUGAGAUACACAUGUGUGUCAAAUUUUGUGUCAUUUUGACAAAGCGUACAGGCAUCAGGUGACUUUUCACCAUAGGGGGCGCUAUGGAGCCAUUUUUCGUUUUUUUGUUUGGACGACUUCAGAAUAUCAAAUUUUUCACCAGGCCCGGUCGUCCUGCCAAAUUUCCUGAGUUUUCGCCAGUGGGAAGUGGGCCAUUUUCCAGUUUAAAGCGGAGGAAAAAUAACGAAAGAAGAAUCCAUCAGGAACAAGAGGGCUCUCGCAGCUGCUUAGCAGCUACGCUCGGGCCCUAAGAAACAAAGAAAAACCACUUGGGGAAUAAUAGGGCUCUCGCAGCUGCUUAGCAGCUACGCUCGGGCCCU
rnacentral:lncRNA from 1 species